rnacentral:rRNA from 1 species
GAUGAACGCUGGCGGCGUGCCUAAUACAUGCAAGUCGAGCGAACGGACGAGAAGCUUGCUUCUCUGAUGUUAGCGGCGGACGGGUGAGUAACACGUGGAUAACCUACCUAUAAGACUGGGAUAACUUCGGGAAACCGGAGCUAAUACCGGAUAAUAUUUUGAACCGCAUGGUUCAAAAGUGAAAGACGGUCUUGCUGUCACUAAUAGAUGGAUCCGCGCUGCAUUAGCUAGUUGGUAAGGUAACGGCUUACAAAGGCAACGAUGCAUAGCCGACCUGAGAGGGGGAUCGGCCACACUGGAACGGAGACAGGGCCCAGACUCCUACGGGAGGCAGCAGAAGGGAACCUUCCGCAAUGGGCGAAAUCCUGACGGAGCAACGCCGCGUGAGUGAUGAAGGUCUUCGGAUCGUAAAACUCGGUUAUUAGGGAAAAACAUAUGUGUAAGUAACUGUGCACAUCGUGACGGUACCUAAUCAGAAAGCCACGGCUAACUACGUG